GUCUCGUCUGCCGUGAAAAUCCGGGGCUCAACUCCGGAUCUGCGGUGGGUACGGGCAGACUAGAGUGAUGUAGGGGAGACUGGAAUUCCUGGUGUAGCGGUGAAAUGCGCAGAUAUCAGGAGGAACACCGAUGGCGAAGGCAGGUCUCUGGGCAUUAACUGACGCUGAGGAGCGAAAGCAUGGGGAGCGAACAGGAUUAGAUACCCUGGUAGUCCAUGCCGUAAACGUUGGGCACUAGGUGUGGGGGACAUUCCACGUUUUCCGCGCCGUAGCUAACGCAUUAAGUGCCCCGCCUGGGGAGUACGGCCGCAAGGCUAAAACUCAAAGGAAUUGACGGGGGCCCGCACAAGCGGCGGAGCAUGCGGAUUAAUUCGAUGCAACGCGAAGAACCUUACCAAGGCUUGACAUGGACCGGACCGGGCUGGAAACAGUCCUUCCCCUUUGGGGCCGGUUCACAGGUGGUGCAUGGUUGUCGUCAGCUCGUGUCGUGAGAUGUUGGGUUAAGUCCCGCAACGAGCGCAACCCUCGUUCCAUGUUGCCAGCGCGUAAUGGCGGGGACUCAUGGGAGACUGCCGGGGUCAACUCGGAGGAAGGUGGGGACGACGUCAAAUCAUCAUGCCCCUUAUGUCUUGGGCUUCACGCAUGCUACAAUGGCCGGUACAAAGGGUUGCGAUACAUGUGAGGUGGAGCU
rnacentral:rRNA from 1 species